rnacentral:rRNA from 1 species
AACGAACGCUGGCGGCAGGCCUAACACAUGCAAGUCGAACGCCCUCUUCGGAGGGAGUGGCAGACGGGUGAGUAACGCGUGGGAACCUACCCAAGGGUACGGGACAACUCAGGGAAACUUGAGCUAAUACCGUAUACGUCCUUAGGGAGAAAGAUUUAUCGCCCCUGGAUGGGCCCGCGUUGGAUUAGCUAGUUGGUGGGGUAAUGGCCUACCAAGGCGACGAUCCAUAGCUGGUCUGAGAGGAUGAUCAGCCACACUGGGACUGAGACACGGCCCAGACUCCU